AAUGUACUCCCUCCGUUCGGAAUUACUCGUCCAAGAAAUGAAUGUAUCUAGAUGUAUUUUAGUUGUAGAUACAUUCAUUUUUGUGACAAGUAAUUCCGAACGGAGGGAGUACUUA
rnacentral:pre_miRNA from 1 species